rnacentral:tRNA from 1 species
UGGCUCAGUGGUUAAGAGCACUGACUGCUCUUCCAGCAGAGGGCCUGGGUUCAAUUCCCAG